rnacentral:misc_RNA from 1 species
GGUGAUAUUGUUGGUUCUUAGCAAAAUUUCCAGCCAAGUGUUUGAAUAAGAGUGUCUUUGAUUCGUUUAUCAGUAAUAUACAAAUAAUGGGAAACGCCGUCUUGUAGCGUGGUCUCCCAAUUAGAAAAUAUUCAGUUAAUCCGAUAUAUGCACGUGUACGAGACUGAAAAAAAUUUCUCUGUACAAGCCACGCCUCUUCAUCGAGAUAUACAUAAAAAAGUAAAGCUAGAGGCUGUUUUAUAAAUAUUGAUGAGCAAGCUUUUAGACCAUUGGCUGAGAGCUUGCAUAUAAAUGAGGCUCUUGCAGUAGUGAGCGGAUUUUUUAUCUUGGAGAAAAUUGUUCGCCAAACUGCCGUCAACGACGGCCAAACGUGAGUAUAAAGUUUUUAAUCGUGGCGUCUCCUGAUUUACGGGCGUCUAAUGACUACGUCGAUCCCAUUGUCCACCUGCGUCCCGGGAAGCGCGGGAGAGAGCUCACUUCCGGCGGCCUAUUUAAUGAACGACGAAGUGACAUCGUGCAGAGAGACGCCGCGGCGAAUAUGUAACGGUCGGAUGAGUUGUGCUUUUAAGCGAUUCUUCUCUUUUCUUUGCAGAGGACAAUAUGCAGCAUUACGCAGCCGACUGCAAUAUGUACUUUCCAUAUUCCAGAUUUGCAGAGAACGGAAUCCAGAGAUUUGCAGAAGAUGCUCACCUACGACCCUACUCAUAUUACCAGCCUCCCCCCACUUAUUUCCACCCUCCACCCUCUCUCCAUUUACCACCCAUCAAGCAGGAACCGUGCGACGCUUACUGUAAUAGUAAUGUUACACAACCUUGGCAGCAGCAACAAUCGAAAGCUUUCGAAUCGGACGGUAGAACAGAUGACGAAAGCGAGAGAUCAGGAGAAUCCCCAGCUAGAUCUACACUUCAAACACCAGCCGUUCACCGCCGUGGUAGUUUACAACUUUGGCAGUUUCUCGUUGCGUUACUGGACGACGCGAACAACCACAACUGUAUCGCCUGGACUGGUAGGGGAUUAGAAUUUAAGCUUCUCGAACCGGAAGAAGUAGCCCGGCGUUGGGGAAUGCAAAAGAAUAGACCAGCCAUGAACUACGACAAACUCAGUAGAUCUUUGCGCUAUUACUAUGAAAAAGGAAUAAUGCAAAAGGUAGCAGGAGAACGCUACGUCUAUAAGUUCGUCUGCGAUCCCGAAGCUCUCUUCUCCCUAGCUUUCCCCGAUAAUCACCGGCCUAACUUAAAGGCCUCAGCCCCAACGUCUGGCCAAUUUGCUCAGACGCCUGGUGGAUAUGAACAGCCUUCUAGUGCGCCCUCUUUUGAUCACUGUGUGUACUAAUUGUAUUGGUGUGUGAGAUUAAAAUGAAAAAAAAAUGAAUUAUUUGUAAAUAAAACUUCCUAAGUAUUCUUCUAUUUUAAAAUAUACUUUAAAG